AGUUGCACGGUAUUCGUAGAACUUCUAGAUUGUCCGCGUUGAUGCAGCACUCUCUCCCUAUUACGCUACCGUAUACCUUCAUCAUAGCACUUAUUGCCGUGUAUUUCAUUUGCUGUUUCGCUUAUCCCUAAAUAAUAGCUAUAGUCCAGUUAACAUUCAUAAAUACGUUUGUGUCAACGAACAUGGUGUUCCGGGUCGAUUGAAGUGGUGGAUGCAACAGUUGGAAAAAAAAUUUGCGAAAAGUGAUUCGGAAAAUCCGAAAUUUUCUACUCCUCACGCUAAUCAGGUGCAACCCCUCGGAUUAUACUGUAUACAUCACCUGCCUCGCCCAUUUGUCAUUCAAACGUCAACAUUAGGCUCGGGUGUGUGGAAUGGACAAGUUUGCGCGUUACAACGUAACCGACGAGCGAUUCAGUGUGUCCCUGCGGUUUAUUCGGAUUUGAAUCUUCGACGUCUGUCUGCGCUAUAAUUAUAU
rnacentral:misc_RNA from 1 species